rnacentral:rRNA from 1 species
GAUCCUGGCUUAGGAUGAACGCUAGCGGCAGGCUUAACACAUGCAAGUCGAGGGGCAGCGGGGAGUAGCAAUACUCCGCCGGCGACCGGCGCACGGGUGCGUAACGCGUAUGCAACCUACCUUUAACAGGGGCAUAACACUGAGAAAUUGGUACUAAUUCCCCAUAACAUUCGAGAAGGCAUCUUCUUGGGUUAAAAACUCCGGUGGUUAAAGAUGGGCAUGCGUUGUAUUAGCUAGUUGGUGAGGUAACGGCU